rnacentral:rRNA from 1 species
UACGAACUGUGCGAACGUUAUUCGGAAUCACUGGGCUUACAGGGUGCGUAGGCGGCUCAACAAGUCAGGUGUGAAAGCCCCCGGCUCCAACCGGGGAACGUGCGCUUGAAACUGUUAGGCUCGAGUCAGCUAGAGGUACACGGAACUUCCAGUGGAGCGGUGAAAUGUGUUGAUAUUGGAAGGAACACCGAAGGCGAAAGCGGUGUACUGGGGCUGGUCUGACGCUGAGGCACGAAAGCCAGGGGAGCGAACGGGG